rnacentral:rRNA from 1 species
GAAGCUUAAACUAAACUAUUAAACCCUAUAAUAUCUACUUUAGGUUGGGGCGACCUUGGAAAAAAAAAGAACUUCCAAACACAUGACCACACUCAUUCAUCAGGCCCACAAGCCUCAUAAAAGACCCAGUACGACUGAUAAUUGAACCAAGUUACUCCAGGGAUAACAGCGCUAUCUUCUUCAAGAGUCCAUAUCAAAAAGAAGGUUUACGACCUCGAUGUUGGAUCAGGACAUCCUAACGGUGCAGUCGCUGUUAAGGGUUCGUUUGUUCAACGAUUAAUAGU